GUACACUCCUACGGGAGGCAGCAGUGGGGAAUAUUGCACAAUGGGCGCAAGCCUGAUGCAGCCAUGCCGCGUGUAUGAAGAAGGCCUUCGGGUUGUAAAGUACUUUCAGCGGGGAGGAAGGCGAUAAGGUUAAUAACCUUGUUGAUUGACGUUACCCGCAGAAGAAGCACCGGCUAACUCCGUGCCAGCAGCCGCGGUAAUACGGAGGGGGCAAGCGUUAAUCGGAAUUACUGGGCGUAAAGCGCACGCAGGCGGUCUGUCAAGUCGGAUGUGAAAUCCCCGGGCUCAACCUGGGAACUGCAUUCGAAACUGGCAGGCUAGAGUCUUGUAGAGGGGGGUAGAAUUCCAGGUGUAGCGGUGAAAUGCGUAGAGAUCUGGAGGAAUACCGGUGGCGAAGGCGGCCCCCUGGACAAAGACUGACGCUCAGGUGCGAAAGCGUGGGGAGCAAACAGGAUUAGAAACCCGGGUAGUCCC
rnacentral:rRNA from 1 species